rnacentral:lncRNA from 1 species
AGUUUUAGCAUUUGUUUGUAAAGAAUCAUUGUGUGGUCCCAUUUUGUCUGAGUUAUAUUAUGAUUAUUAACAAAUAUAAACACUACAGAGUGAAAGAGAGGAAAGAAGUCAGUGUCAAUAGCUGUAUCAAGGACCAAAACACACCAUUAAAUACACUCCCUCUUCCUCUAUGGCACAGUGAAAGCAAUUGACAUUAAUUCAUAUAUGGAUCCAUCCACACAUACACAAGAAUCACGACCUCACUUUUCUCUUCUCCAUACAGCCCUUUUAUUUUUAUCUAUUUUCUACAUCUCUAUUUAUAUAUCCAUCCAUCCAAUAACAAGAUCUAUCUUCAAUCUUCAUGCUUCAUUCAUUCAUCACAACUAUGUGUCUAUCUAUAUCUUAUGUUGCUUUGAGAGGUUGAAGCUGCCAGCAUGAUCUGGUAAUGAAUCAACCACAUGUUUUCUGUUUUUUUUUACAUAUAGAUUUCAUCAUCUCUAGUGCUUUGAGUCUCAUAGCAUAAAUUUGGUUUUAUAUGUGGGUCGCAGUUGCAGUUAGGGUUGCGAAUAUUGGGAUUGCAGUCUUUGCGUUUGUUCUGAUGCGCAUUUCACCAUAGUGUUUUAAUUAUACGGUUGAAAAACACUUAAUUUUAAGAUUAUUACAUGUUUUUAAGUUACGAAAUUAUGAGUUUUGUUACAAAUUCUUGAACAAAUAUUGGUGAAAUUGUGCACAUUCAGACAAGUGAUUUUGAAGUCACAAAACAAUUGUGGUCGGGUACAGUUGCAGAAUCUAUUAAUAUUAUGGCCGCAAUUGUUGCUGCGGAUUACAAUUUAAAACCAUCUAUACUACAACAUAAAACACAUAUCUAAAUAAAACACAUAUCUAAUCGGUUUGAAAAAGAUUUUCAAAUCGGUUGGCUAUCCGAAAUAACAUAAGAUAUUAUAGUAAAUCCGUUACAAAUUAUAUUAAGUGGCUGACCCAGGGGGAAAACAAUUUAUAGUGUUUAUCUAAAUUAUGUUUUAAACUAAAAAAAAUCUCGACUAUUAAUGUUAAAUUUUUCGUAAUGUCAAAAUUAGUAGUUUUUUCUAAAAUAUAUUUUGAGGAACUCAAAUUUAGUUAUAAGAAGUGGUUCGGUUCGGUUCGAUCAGGUCAUCUUGCAGCUUCAAUCACUCAAUUAUCAACAGAUAACUAACUUCCUCCAUUUCGAUCUGUUGAAUUUCAGGUAAAUAAAUCUCUAAUCCUUAUCCUAUAGAUUUAUACAAGUUUUAUUUAUGAAAUAUUUUGAAAUUUACAUGUGCAAAUACAUGUGCUUUAACUCUUGUCAUUAAUUAUAAAUUACUUUAUACCAGCUACACACAUUCACAAUCACAUGCACGUAUUUGUUUAUUACUAUUAAUAAUUAAUACAUAAUUUAUGUGUGUAUAUAUACAUAUAACAGAAGAAGAAAUAUAUAUGGACAUUAAUGCAAGACAAAGUAUAAAUCCAUUUUCUUUUCUUCUUUUUAAGUGGUACUGAUUAUUUGUCUCGUAAUCUCAACAACCUUUAUCUAACUUUUUUGGGAUGCAUUUAGCACGAGUACUGCACAGACAAAAUUUGAAACGGUUUCAUUUGUUACUUUCUUCCAUAGACAACUGUUUGUGGUGGUCCUAUCUGUUGUACUGUCGCAAUCUACUCAACUUGUCUUCUGCACUAUUUCAUUUUUUAUAACAAUAUCUUUGAAUUUUAAAUAAUUGGUUUCUAGUAGUUUGGUUUAUCUUAACCUAGGUUUUGGUUUGGUUUGGUUUGUUUCUACUGUCUUGAAGAAUUUAAUUGAUGAGAUGCUAGGGUCAGUUCAAUGUACGUUGAUGCUAAGUAACUAUUAUGUGAUUUGUGAACAUUUAUGAUCGAAGAGAGAUUUUAGAACCAACUCCAAAACAAGGUAUGGUUAUUAUUAUUUAUGAAAAGGGUCCCUCUUUUGUACUCACUUGGUUGCAGUCUCUGUCAACUAUAUGUGAAGCCUGUGAAGCAAGGACUUAGUUAGUAGCUAAUCCAGUCGCAGAUGUAAUAGGUAAAAUGUAUUUAUCUGGCUUUGUAAGUAUAGUUCAAAUAGAUUAAUAUUUUGAUAUGUUGUCAAGAAAAUUUGAACGACAUGUAUUGCAGUGUAAAUUAAUGUUAAAUUUUCAGAAACUAUAAAUAUAAAUUAAUGUCUUACUCUGAUGACUUGGAGACGAAGUUUCAAUUUGAUUUUAUUUAAAAUUUAAUUUCCUUAAUGCUUUUUAGGCUUUAAGUUGACAUUUGCUUUGACGCGCAUGCUUUUUAUACUCUUGCUCGUAAUGUUUGCACCUUUUUCUUACCAAAAACUAAAAAACUCAUCUAUUUUGUUAGUAGAAAUAUAUUUUUAAAGUAACGAGCAUAUUAAUAAAACCACUUAUUUAAACGGUUAAUCAGAAUUUUUUAUUAU